UUAGCGGCGGACGGGUGAGUAACACGUAGGCAACCUGCCCGCAAGACUGGGAUAACUUCCGGAAACGGUAGCUAAUACCGGAUAAUUUAUUCUCCUGCAUGGCAGAUUUAUGAAAGACGGAGCAAUCUGUCACUUGAGGAUGGGCCUGCGGCGCAUUAGCUAGUUGGUGAGGUAACGGCUCACCAAGGCAACGAUGCAUAGCCGACCUGAGAGGGUGAACGGCCACACUGGGACUGAGACACGGCCCAGACUCCUACGGGAGGCAGCAGUAGGGAAUCUUCCGCAAUGGGCGAAAGUCCUGACGGAGCAACGCCGCGUGAGUGAUGAGAGGUCUUUCGGAUCGUAAAACUCUGUUGUCUCAGGGAAGAACGAUGCUACAUAGAGUAACUGCU
rnacentral:rRNA from 1 species